CGUAGGGUGCGAGCGUUAAUCGGAAUUACUGGGCGUAAAGCGUGCGCAGGCGGUUUGUUAAGAUAGGCGUGAAAUCCCCGGGCUCAACCGUGGGAACUGCGCUUAUGACUGGCAAGCUAGAGUACGGCAGAGGGGGUGGAAUUCCACGUGUAGCAGUGAAAUGCGUAGAGAUGUGGAGGAACACCAAUGGCGAAGGCAGCCCCCUGGGUCGAUACUGACGCUCAUGCACGAAAGCGUGGGUAGCAAACAGGAUUAGAUACCCUGGUAGUCCACGCCCUAAACGAUGUCAACUAGGUGUUGGGAGGGUAAAACCUUUUAGUACCGGAGCUAACGCGUGAAGUUGACCGCCUGGGGAGUACGGCCGCAAGGUUA
rnacentral:rRNA from 1 species